rnacentral:misc_RNA from 1 species
GAUGAAGAAACGUAGCGAAAUGCGAUAAGUAAUGUGAAUUGCAGAAUUCAGUGAAUCAUCGAAUCUUUGAACGCACAUUGCGCCCAUUAGUAUUCUAGUGGGCAUGCCUGUUCGAGCGUCAUUUCAACCCUUAAGCCUAGCUUAGUAUUGGGAAUCGACUUUACUGUCGUUCCUCAAAUUCAACGGCGGAUUUAUAGCAAUCUCUGAACGUAGUAAUUUUUUUUCUCGUUUUUGAAAUACUAUAAACCUCAGCCGCUAAACCCCCAAUUUCUUAUGGUUGACCUCGGAUCAGGUAGGAAUACCCGCUGAACUUAAGCAUAUCAAUAAGCGGAGGA